rnacentral:rRNA from 1 species
AAAAGAGAGUUAAAAAGUACGUGAAAUUGUUGAAAGGGAAGCGUUUAUGACCAGACUUGGGCUUGGUUAAUCAUCUGGGGUUCUCCCCAGUGCACUUUUCCAGUCCAGGCCAGCAUCAGUUUUCGCCGGGGGACAAAGGCUUCGGGAAUGUGGCUCCCCUCGGGGAGUGUUAUAGCCCGUUGUGUAAUGCCCUGGCGGGGACUGAGGUUCGCGCUUCUGCAAGGAUGCUGGCGUAAUGG